AACGUUCAAUUACAUGAUCCACUCAAAGAAUUAGGUUCGAAAUUUUUUGAAUAAAAGUGAAAUACGCUAUAAAACCUACAUCUGUAUGUCUAUCCGUAAGUAUGUAUGUACAGCAUGCUCAUCAUAAUUUCGCAAAAUACUGUCGAGGCGAAUGAGAGUGAAAAUUACAAACUAUCACAGCGAGCAAUAAAGAAAUAAUUGUAAAAGCGAGUAAGUAAGAACAUUGAGAGCAGCGGCAGAUAUAAAAAUAAGUACAUAAGCGGCAUAGAUAUACAUAUAUAGAUGUACAAUAUACAUAUAUGAAUGUAUGUAUGUGUACAUGCGAGUGUGGAUUCUCACGCUACUCACACAUAGUGACACGUGAGUGUGUGCAGAAAGAUUACAUGAAAUGCCAUUAAAAAAGUACAGCACUGACUCGGAGCAGAGGGAGCAGGGUGCGGCGGAACAGGAAGCCCGUAACACACCAUCGAUAAAAAGCAGCAACAACAACAGACACAAAUUUAUGUAUUUAUGUGUGUAUGUAUGUACUUGCAGCAAUUAGGUGCGCGAGCGACAUUAUUCCCAGUUUCGCCCGAUUCGUGCGCCAGUAGGAAGAGCAACAGCAACAGCAACAACAAGAGCAAUUUUAACAACAACGGAGAGGAGCGCGACGCAGAAGCUGAAAAUUACGAAUUACCAACGAGCAAACCAGUCAAACACAAGUCAGCAACACGAACAACAACCACAACAACAGCGACAACAAGAACAACAGGCGAAUCAAAUAUGUAUAACAGCAGCACUGAAUAAGUGUAUAUAGACAACAGUAAACGCCGACUGCACAGUUGACCGCAACGUCGCCGCUAUCAAAACGAACGAUGGCAACGAAGGCACUAAAGGCGACGACGACGCAACGACAAGGUAGAAAAUUGAACUUUCCAUUUGGUCUGCUAGCGACGACAGCGGCAUUGAGAACUGAAACUUUUGUGCGAUCAUACCGCAUCGCGGCUGCGACGACGAACCGGAGCGCCGAAAAUGACAGUACAUUUUGGGUAAAAAAGUGUUUAAUAAUAAUAAUACUACAAUUAAUAAAAACAACAAUACUCAAAAUAAACAGUUUCAAAAUGUGGAGUGAAACAGUUUUUCUAUUGGAAAUGGUAUUUUUUACGGAACUGUGUGUGACCUUUUCAAGUACUGCGCAUUUAUUCUGUGAAAGUUGCAGAGAAAUCACGCGAAACAUUUGAAAUGCUGUGAGUACAUGUAAUAAAAACUCGAGAAUAUAAGCAACAUGCUUUGAAUUUUUUUUUUAAUAUUGUGUUUUAAGCCUGUGUGAUAAUUAACAAUGCCGUUAUAAAGCAAAAAUUGAUCUUUAUAAUAUCUAAAAAAUCAAAUAUUGACAUCCGAAAAGAUAAAAAUAAAAAUAACAUUAACACAAAUUUGUAAAAAUUACAAUUUGUUGACAAUAUUAACAUUUGUUGUUGUGGCCGUGUAAAUAUGAAAUUUUAACAAACAAAAAAUGAGUUAUUAAUACACAAAGAUACAAAACUUGCAAAGCAGCAAGCAAAUCGAAUGAAACACAGUGGACAGAUAUUCCUUGCAAAGCGCACAACCCUUGGCAGCAAGCUCCACCACGACGGGUGCAAAGCUUUUGUGGUGUGAUGCGCGUUAGCAGCAACAACAACGCCAUUAGUGGCAACACGCAAAAUCCAAGCAGUUUACGUUGAAACGACGCUCAGCGAAAUUAAAUUAGACAACGAAAAAUACAUCAACAAUUUAAAGGAGAAACUGUAAAACUGUACAUAUGUAUGUAUGGGAAGAUGGCAAUAAUGGAGGCACAAAUAUUAAAUGAAAUUGCAGAGAAAAGGCGUGAAUGGAAAACCGAACUUGGGUGGCAUAUGAAUGACGGCAACAAAACUUAAGGAAAUGUGAACGUCGGCGCUGGCAGAAGGGUAGCGCUGCUGAGCGCAAACUGCGCGACGAAAACAACAGAGGUGUUAGCGAAAAUGUCAGCAGCGUCAGGGCGAAUGCGAAGGGAUGGCGGAAGCAAUUAUUUGAACAGCCAUGCCAAUUGAGCACAUGCGCUCACUUUCACUUGCGCUCUCUAUCUCUCUUUCGACUAACUACGUGCGCUACAAACACAAAGAAUGCAAGCACGCACACAAGUAGAAGAUGCACUCAUAUGGAAUAUAUUUGUUUCGUCGUUGCAUUCGCCAUGAACCGACAGUUUGAAAGUGAAUUGAGUGCAGCGUUGACUUAACGCGAGCGGGGUGGUUGCUGCACACUGCCGCGCUCUUCGAAAGCAAAUUAGAAUGCAAGAACAACAACUGCAUGCAUUUACAUAUAUACCUGCAUAUCUAGUAUAUAUAAAAAUAUAUAUUGCUGGUAUAUAGCGCGAAUAUAAGGAAAAUAAUGUGUGCGUAUAGUUGAAAACAAAUAUGGCGGACAUGCGCAAUUGCAUUCAACUUGAACUUGAAAUUUCAUUAUUUGCCAACGAUUGCAGCUGCAGCCAGCCACCACAGCUAUACAGACAGCUACAACAGCAACAGAAAACGAAAAUGAAAACGAACCCGAAACAGACGUCCAUGCAAUCCCAACGUCCGCACUACACUACACUCGGCCAAGGAGCCCAUAGGACACGGGUCCACAUACAUACAUGCAUACCCACAUAUGUAUAUAUAGAAAACAGGAGCACAAGGACACAGGAGAUUGCAUAACACAACGCCAGUGAAUCGGAAUAGUCGAAUUUGUGCGAUUGCAUCAGCAGCUGCCGGAAUACACGGCUCCCGAACUGCUGCUUUUUGGGACUUUCGCAGCAGGUAUGUAUUGAUUUGGCAAAUAUUUUGUGUGUAAUAAGCGUAAAGUGUGUAAAGGUCAAAGGUUGAAAAACGUGCAAAAGCAUUGUGUUCUUUUCUCAUUAAUGUGAAGAAAUGUCGAUUGUAGCGUGCCGCGAACACAAUUGUUGACCGUACUUGUAAUUUUUUAACGUCGAAAAAAGCUUGCGAUAUAGGAAAACAACAAAACUACAUAUAAAUUUCACUUUUCAAAACUUUAUUACGGUAGCGCACAAAGAGUGUAGCAAUAAGAAAGCACGAAAGCAGGCGGAAGAGGAAGUGCAAAUAGCGGAGAGUGCAGUGGGAUGCACACACACAACCAUUGUAAAUAAAAAUUGUUUGCUCUGAGCGUGGAAGCUCUCGCUUUUGUGCACACCCACAGAAAUAUAUUAUAUUAUCUAUACGAGUAUAUGUCAAUAAGCAUUUGCGAGCGCAAUUAAUUUUGCCUACUCAAAAGCUUUCAUCACUUAAGCUUUUAGCCGGCAUGUUUUCCCAGCUGUGCUUUUGCUCAAAUUCCAGCUUUUAUCCACUUUCGUACGCUUUGGCGUGGGAAACAACAUUUUCCCCUUUUUCGCUGUGUGGGUGGGCGCGUCAACGUACGUAUGUGUGUGCAUGUGGUAAGCUCCUAUUUGUAGGCUAUACUAUACUCCCAUACACUUAGGCAGCAUCAAAAUUACCCCGAUAAGAGCGCUUCCCACUUUGACGCUGCAUAACUACAGGAAAAUGCGCCCAAUUUAUUCGAUAUUCGUCACAUAUGUUGAUGUGCUCAACGCAGCUUGUGCCUGAAAAGUAUGAAGAAGUAAAUAUGAAAUUUAAACUUAAUUAAAAAAAGUUGAAAAAUUGAUUUGAAAAAGUGGAAAUGAAAGUAAAUAAAAUUAUAUAUAUGAUUUCUGGAAUAUUUAAUAAAUAUAAAGCAUAUUUGACCUUUGCCCUUUACUAUAAUUAGAAGUGAACUUUAUUUUCGACAAUUUGGCUUGUAACGCUUUAAAAUCUAUAAAUAAAAGUGUCACACCAGCGUCGAAAAGGAACGCUAUUAAUAUAGAAAUAUAUAUAAAAAUAUACAUAUAUAUGUGUCAGUUAAAGAUGUGUGCGUGUUUUAGAUUCCUUACCACAAAAAAUGCGAUUUUGUCGAAGUUCGUGUGCUUGAAUGAAUAAUAAACUUAAGAAGAUUAAUUGCUUAAAAUAAUUGAGUUGUUGGAAAUCAAAAAAAAAAAAAAAUACCUUAUUAAAAAUAAAAAAACGACGAGAAAAGCUGUCCAUACGGUAUGCUAAAUCAAGUGACGUCUAACAUUGAUUUCUACAAUGUGUACGAUUAGAAUAACGCUGACGUCGAUGCAGCAACAACAAGUUGCUGUUAUGUCAUGUUUGUGUGUGUGGGUGUUGCUGCAGCAAGGACAAGAAAAAUACCUAACGGGAUACUAAUAGAAAAAUUGCACUAAAAAUUUGAGGCAAGGUAUUUCAAGUAUAGCUAUAAAAAAUAUUUCUAAAAUGACGACCAAACCUCCAAAAACUGGAAUAAACUACUCAAAGGAAAUGAAUACCUACAAGAGGAUAUCACAGCAUUUGGAUUGUGUGGAAGCAAUCGAUAAAAAAAAAUCUUAAUUAAUACAAAAUAGUAAUUAUUAUAUAAAAAAAUGUAUACUGAAAUUAAUCGAUAGCAACUGGUUUUUAAAAUUAUCAAUGUAAAUCGAUAUACAUAGUUGUUCUGUAAUUAAUCGAUAACAAUUGAUACAUAAAACUGUCGGUAUAAGUAAUCGUUUCCGUAAUUAACUGCUAGAAACUAUUUACAAAACUAUCGAUUAUUAUGCUAAAUUAUCUAGCAAUAAAACGGUAAUUAUGGUAAACACUUUAUCAUUCUCCGAACUGUGCACCCGACUUUGUAAGUUGAUUUGAAUUAUGGAUUACACUUUGAGCUUUUCACUGGCACUUUUAAUUUUUUCUUCAAAGAAAAUAACAAUACUUUAAUGAAAUAAAAUACAUGACCAUAUUGAAAACGAAAUAUGCAAUUUCAUAAAUCUACGAUAAAAAGCUAGAUUUUAAUUCGUAAAUUUUAUUUUUUAACUAGCAAUUGUUUCAAAGAUGCCUUCUAAGGCUCCAUAGGCACAUACAAAACAUCCAAAAGUACAAGUAUAUAUAUAUAUAAAUGAUCAGCAUGGUGGGCUAAGUGGAUGUACCCAUUUCCGUCUGUCCAUCUCUAUAUAUACGAACUACUAGUUUGAUGAGAUAUCUCCACGAAAUUAGCAAUAGAUUAUUACCUUAAGUAUCGCUACAAUCCGAAAAUGUUGUUCUGAUCAGACCACUUUGAUAUAUAGCUGCCAAAUACACCAACCGAUCAAAAUCAAGAUAAAGAUUUUUUUAAUAUUAUUUUAUAAGUCAUACAAGUCACAUUUUCAUAUCGGAAAUACUCUCAUAGUUCAAAUUUGUUCCACAAAGACUAAAAUGCUGAACUUACGAGUAGAAGUUACAUAUUUCACAAUAGCGAUGUACUUGCUUAUAUACCAUUAUCUGAUAUGAGCUCUUAAAGUGGUUCGUAAAUCCAGGGCAACUCUCCCCGCGUAAUGAACCAUAAUUCAUAUUUCGCUUGCGAAAAGCAGAAUAAAUGACGCAGUAUGAUAAAUAUUUUUUUUUUUCUGAAUCCAACUAUAAUUAUAUAGGAUUGCUCAUAAAUUAAUAGUGAAUAGAAGAAAAGAAGAGUCGGAACUACUUUGUCACUAUUUAAAUUCACUCAAUAAAAUCUCAUUUAAAUCGCAUGCUCAUGUGAUACUCUGAGUGAUUUAUGUGGACGAGCAAACGAAGCCGAAUUCAGUUCGAAAUGAGCGUCGAGCCGAAAAAAAAGCUCGCUCAACCACUUUACUUAUAAGAAGCACAGUCUUCUGUUUUGGUUUUUGUCAUGGCUAAAGCACACACCCACACAAACACACCUAUACAAGCGUGCACACAAAGAUGAUUAAAAUAUAAUUGAAGGGAAGUGACGACAAGCUAAACUUUCGCUUGAGUUGUUACAAGGCGCACCCACACACACAUAAUAGUGGCAGAAGUACGCGCGUAAAGAAGCUCCACGCUUAAGGGAAAGUGUUGUGAAAUAAAAACUAUACUGAAAAAAAAAUAAAAAAUAAAAAAUGAAUCGUAUGCAUCUACUGCCGGGAUACACCCUGUGCUCGCUUCGUAAAUGUUCGUAACCGAGUCAGUGAACACAGCUGGUGGUAUCUCAGUGGUGGUUGCAUGUGUGUCAACGACGAGCGGCGGCAAUGAAUUAUUAAAAUAUUUGUUUUUGUUAACAAACAUAUAUGCAUUUAUAUCAAGGGCAGCAGCAACAACAACACCACUACUCACAUAGCACGCACAUACAUACAUAUACAUAUGCUGUAUGUGUGUAUCCUGCUGAGCUAUUGUGCACCUGCAGGUGAGUACACGCCACGCAUUUUCGCUUAUCAUUUUCGUAUAAAGUAAUUUUAUUUUAUUACACAUACUUAUUUUAUAUAUUAAGUAUAAACACAUUAACAUAUUUUCCGAAUAUACGUAUAGAAUAAGCUGCAGAAAUUUUUGUUUUUGGUUUUGUCUAAAUUUUAAGUAUGCGUUUUUCUUAGUACAACUACAUUUAAUUAAUUUCAUGCGAAAAUAUAAGAAUUAUUUCAAAAAAUUUAAAAAAAAAAAUUGGAAAAUAAGAAAAUUUUUUUUAGAAAUUAAAAUUCUAAACAAAAAAAAUGUAAACAAAUUAAAUGAAGUUAAAGCAAAAUUAAUUUUAGAAUUUGUAGUUUUUUUUUUAAUUUUAAAAUUAACUUUUUUUUUAAUAAAAAGAAACGAAAGUCUAAAAAUUCAAUUAGUGAAUUUAAAAACUGCAUAUUUUCAACAUAACUUGUACUUGUUCGAUAUUCUUUUCAGUUUCGUUCGAUUCAUAGCGUUUCAGCGUGUUGCAUCUAACUGCUACUGCAACUAUGAAAAAUUAAAAAAAUUUAAAUUGUUCAAAUCAAUUAAAUUUAUAUAAGUAUAUACAUAUAUUAUAUAUAUUUAUUGUUGAAGUACGAAAUCAAUUCAUUAUCAAUUAGCGCCUAAGUUCACACGCCGCCUACAACAUUGGAUAAUUGCUCUUGUACUCAUUACCGUACUCGACUCGAAGAUCAUUCAUCAUUCACUUGUAGGUAUAACUUGGCGCAUGUGCGUUGCUUUGUGUGUGUCUGUAUAUUCAGUAGAUGUGACAUUUAUGCACUUAUGUAAUUGUCAAUGCCAUUUAGUUGAAUUCAAUUCGUUUUACUUCGAUUCGAUUCACUUAAGUAGAUUAAAUUGGCAUCUAUUUGACAUGCCCGCAGCGCUUAAGUAGAAUGUUCUCUUCGGAAUUCGUUUGUAUGUGUGUAUUUUUGAUUUGGUUCGAUGCAUAUGGAACAUAAAUUUUUUUUAGUUAUGUGUAUAUGUACGUGAGUGAAAUAUGAAUAUGAAAAUGUUUCAACCAGACACUGAAAUCGAAAUAAAGUCUUUUCUAAUUUUAAUCAUUACCUUUUUUGAAAUACUUGCUGUAGAAAUAAGACCAAAUCGUCUACAUACUAUGCAGCUAAUUUUUGAGCAAAAUUUCCAGCAAUACAUAGUUACCAAUUUUACUUCUCUUUGUGUAUUUUUUAUCCGCUGAAUUUCACACAAACUUAUCAAAUAAAAGGAAUUGCCUUACUACUUCAGACAACUAAAUGGCCAAAAGCACUAAUCCCAUUGUCAGUUUGAAAGCAGGAAAUCUGUAUUCAAAAGUUUUAAGCAGACUAGUUUUUUCGACAGUUUUUCGAAAAGAAUUUUUAAACCAAACUACUCUCGCUAUAGCUUACAGAGAAGCUUCUUUUUUCAUUUACGUGAGGUUUUGAAAUUUUUUCUUGCAUGAGUUUUUGUUUCAAAAUAAUGUUAUAGAUGGUCUCGUAACCUGUAAUAAUAUUCCCCUCUGAAUUUUAUUUUAGACUGUUAAUCCGAAAAAGUCACACUCUGAAUAAAUCUUGGUAACUCUUCCAUUGUAAUAUCAAGUGUAAGGGGAAUUUCUUUAUAAAACAUAAAUCAUUUAUUUUCCCCUUUUUCCAGUCCUCAUAACAGUCGGAUUAGUCUUUUUCAAAACGGAAUUCCCGCAUUAGAAUUUUCAGUUUUCUGAAGAGCCAGAAGUCGCACAGAGCCAAAUCAGGCGAUUGCGGAACGCAGUAUGACAUGGCUGUUUGUCACCAAUUGAGACUUGACGCGUUUGAGACAAAAAACAUGACAUACACAGAAUAGUUUGGGCUGAGCCAAAUGAUUUUCCAACACUAACGGCGAAAUCUCUAAUUGUCAAUAGAGGAUUUUCAAGCACCAAAUCUGUGAUUUAUUGUUCUCGACAUCUAGGUCUGAAAAUUUUCUUAGCGUUCAAAUUUUAACCAUGUUUUUCCAACAAAGCCGAUCAGCAUAAAUCAUUGACUUAUAGAUCAUUUAUUAAAAAAAGUCGAUUCAUAUGUUUUAGGUGGCCAAUACGAAGUCCCAUUUCUUAAUAUAAUUUAUUCACCAAAAUAAAAUAAUUCUCGAUAAGAUGAUGCUUUCACGCACUAUAACGCUUUUCUGGUGGAACAUUUUACAGUUUGGCUAUGGGAAAGAAAAAAGUAACAAAUUGUUUACCUGUACCACUUUACCACAGUCAGUAACGGUGAAUGUCUACCAGAUACGCCUUGUUCCUUUUAUUUACUAAGCAUAAAUGUCAAACACAUGUUGUUACAGGUUGACAGCUGAUUUAACAGCUAUCACUCGAAGAAAUUUUAAAUUUGUAAUAGUUGAAUUCAAUGGGUUAUAUUCACUUGAUAGUCAAAAAACACAGACUUUUCUUGAUUUUUUUAUGAAAAGAUAUUAUUUUAUAAGUAAUUCAAAAAUAUGUAAAUUUAAAAAACUUAAUGUACUUCAAUAAGCGGCAAAUCAUUUUAAAAUAUUCACUAAAAUUAUUUUAACUCCAAAAGAGCUUCAAAAAUCGAAAUUCCUAUAUAUAUAUUUUUUUUUUUAAGUUAAGCAACCGUUUCGGAGAAAUUUUCCGCACUCACACCAGCCACCUACCUUAAUAGUUUUGUGAGCCAAUUUCACUAAAUUAAAAUAUUCUUACAAAUACUAAGCUCAUAUCUCGAAAUUUAAAUACGAUGGUGUACUGACGUUCGGUCUGCCGACUUGCGUACUCCAUUUCGCUAACAAAGUAGAUUUUAUUUAACCCUAUGAUAGUAAAAGAGAUAAUUAUACAGUUCAACUACUCGCCAGAUAUUUUUUUUUUGAGUACGCAAAGCUGAACUAAGCACGAACACAUUCUGUGUACUGAGAUAACAUAAUUUAUAUUAGAUAUGUAUUACAUAAAUUAUUAUUGAUACAAUAUUAUUUACAUAUAUUAAAAUUACUCUAUGAGCCGUAAACAUACCGAUCGCUAGCUACUCUUUUAGUCUUUAGUACCAUAUAACAUAUAUAAAUUGAUGCUUAAUUUAAAAUAAAAAAUAAGUCCAGAAUUCUAAAAAUUGUGAGCUUCCUUAUUGUUCCUUAUUGUGAGCUCAUGAUAGAGCGGGUAAGCAGAAAAACUUUUUCCAUUCACAAUUUACUCGAAUAUAUAUUACAUAUAUGUAAAUGCUCAAUAUUUUGUUUUAGUAUCUACUUAUAUCAGCUUAGUAUUGGAGUUAAAAAGAAGUACAGUUUAUAUUUUCUGCUGACUAAAGUCUUAUAAUAUGCUGUUUGAGACUAAAGCGGAGGAAUAAUGGCCUUAAGAAUUUCACCACGUGGACAUCCAUGUGUAUGUAUAUAUUCGAAAGCUUUACAUUCUUUAGCCUAAAUUGAUCUGACCUUAAGGCAGCGAAAAAAAUAACUUUUAAGUUAAUAAAGUAAUAGAAAACGUUGGCGCCGUACCCAUUAUUUAAUAAUUGCAUAUACCUACAUAUGUGUAAAUUUAAUACACUUAUUAUUUUACCCAUAACGGCCCAAAUAACUGAACUCGUCGAAAUAGCGUUUUCUACGCCAGCAUGCAACAUUUAACGCUGCAACGAUUAAUGCGCUCCAAAAGCAAAAUUCCACUUGCUCAUAAAUUCAACAAUUGAAAUCCAUGUGAAUGCAUUAAAAUGCACAAACACAUGCCAUUAUAUUAUUUAUGUACUUACGUAUAUAUGUAUUUACAACGUAUUUAAUGUGUGUCGAACAAAUACUUCGCUGCUGAUAAUAAAAACGCUUUACAAUUAUGAAAGUUGAGGAAAGACGACCGGAAAAAAACUAAAAGAGCACAAGUAAGGUGGGGCUAAGUGCGAGCCUAAGGCAAUUUUAUGAAUUCUAUACUACCAUUGAAGUACUGUUUUUUGAAAUUAUUUAAAAUUUCCGUGCUUUUAAUUUUUAAAUUUUGAAAAUAAAGCUGAUUACGAGAUAUAUAUAUUACAUAUGCGAUCAUACGCAACAUUCGCGUCAUAAUGUUGCAUAAUAUAAAUAAACUUUUCAAUAUAUUAAUGGUUCUUUUCAAAAAUUUGAUGUAUCAUACCAUACCAAAGAAAAAAGAUAUUUCUCCGUUUUUCGAAGUUAACCUUCGAAGUUAACAUUUGCCAUCGAAGUUCAGAAUUUGGGUUAUUGAAAAACAUCAACAUUAAUUAUGAUAAGUUUUUACAAAACAAAAUGAAAAUGUGGGCAGAUUUAGAUUUUUCUACUUAUUUCAAUAGUGUAAAGCAAUUUUCUGGUAAAGCUUUUAUGUGACGGUUACAUACUAUAUGGGAUCGGUUAAUUCUUCGAAGGAAAAUAAAUAUUUUUAAUUUUUAAACUACUGUCACAAUUUAGACCAUUUACAUUCGUUUGAUAAGCUUGUGUAAAUGUUACACACUACUAAAAUGAGAUAGAUACAUGAAUGAUAUUAAUAUUUUUAAAUUUACUGACAACGCAAGGUAAAUGGAAAACAAUUGUAACAAACAAUAGUAUAUAGAUAUUUAUAUUUGCUUAAAUACUAGCAAAAGCGGGUAAGAAUACAUAUAUAGUGGAUGUAAAAAACUUAAUAAAUAUAUAUACUAAGAAUGUACAAUAUAUAUUAGUAUAUAUUAUAUGUAUAUAUGUAUAUAGGAGUACACUUGUUACAACACUUUUAACAUGCUUUUACCAUAUGCUAUCAAUAAUUGUUUUUGCAAUCACCAAAACACAACUAACAAUUACUCUUAGUAUCUACGAGAUAAAUUCGAACACAUGCGCUACUUAUACAAAUGUAUAUACUUGUAUGGUAUAGAUAUACAGCUAUUUUGAUAAAAUUUUGUUGGCAACGAUAAAUAGUAUUUCAGUUGUGUAUAUUCACUAUUUAUUGGCUCUUCGUCAAUUCGCCCAAGCAUGCGAUUGUUUGCAGCUUCCAAUUGACAUUGUCACACGAGCGUUCAUUGAAACCGCUUGCCCCCGCCUAACCAUAUUAGAUUAUAAAUGCAAUGAAAAUGCACCCUCUCUUACUGUUGACAUUAUCUGUCAACGUUGUCAGUUUGACAUUAACUUGUUCCCACAUUUCCACUGCCUUUGCGUAUGUGUCGAAUUUCCAUUUUCUUUCUCAUACAUUGUACUAUACAAGUAUGUGCAAAAUUAAUCGUUCAGUUUUUAUAACAGCUGCAUGCAAAAUCUAAUAAUAAUACAACUUUGAACAUGCGUUCUGUGGUACCCUGAAAAGGUUAAUUAAUGUUUCAUCUUAUUUUACAACUUUUGAGAUAUGACUACGAAUAUAUCGUAUUUAAGCAUUCUAUUUCUAACCAAGACCUACUCAUUUUCACCUCUGUUAGAAAAUAGUUCUGUGUGGCUUUACGUUAUGUUGUGAUUUCCAAGAAAAUUUGAUGUUUCAACAAAAUAGUUAAUCUCACACAUAUUCUAUGCAAGACCGAACUUCUCUUGUCGCCUCUCAUAGAAAUCAAUAUAGAAUCCUGUAGAAAUCUUUUGACUUCUGAAACCAUCUGUUCUUGAGUUUCAAAUGAAUGCACCUGUUUCGAAGAUCUACAAAUUUUGUUCACUUCAGAUACAGAUUCUAUUAGACAGUUAGUCAGAGAGAUAUACAUUUUUAGAAUCGUUAAAAAUUUUUUCCAGAAUUGUGCUUAGUGAAUAUUCUUGCGCAAUAACUAUCGAAAAAUACCUAUUUGUAAUACGCUCUUAACUAUUUAGGAAUGCCUUGAGACUCGUAUCGAUGUUAUUUUAUAUAGAUGUUUACGACACAACAACCACCCACACAGUGCCCCAAUAAUGCUCUUAUAUUAUAUAUAUACGAGCAUAUGCUCAGACUAAACAUUCCGAAACCUAGCAUUAGCGGUAUUUCAUAAGUAAGGGUGCCUUUUGCUAUAAAUAAAACGGAAACAGUUAAGCACUAUUUGGUCAUUUGCUUAAAAACUAUUGCAUAGUAUUAUUUUUUACCAAAAUAUCUUCGUAUACAAUCUCUUUGUGAUUCAAAUUCAGAUUAUCUCUGUUAACAUUUGCUGUCUAUUAGUUAAAAAUAAAUAAAUCAAGUCAAGGGGUCAAGGAUGCCAGCACAGCUAGUAAGUAUGCAAGUGUAUGCUUAUGUAAUAAAUACUUUCGGCUUAUCGGCGAUAUUGUGUCACCACUGCGGGCCAUUUCACCUUCAGCCACUUUUGGCAAACACAGAAACUUUUGGCAAACUCUGCAUCAAAUACAAAGAACUCACUUAUGUAUGUAUGUGCCAUGUGCAUUCUAUGCAUACAAGUAAUCUGGGUGUCUUCACUUGGUAUAUGUUGGUAUUUUUUAUGGCGACCUUCAUAGAUCCUUAAUGCACAAAACUAAAAGUAAAUGUCCUACUUAGUUUAAUUUUAAAAAAGUUCGAAGGUCGUUAGAGCGAAAAUAAACGUUUCGAAGCAUACAAGUUGUACACAGUUGGAGUGCAUAGAAAUAAUAAAAAACGAAACUAAAAUAAUUAGAAAGAAAAACAAAUUUCUAGAAAGAAUGUACGGAAAAUGUAGUUCAAACUUUGGUUGACUUUAAUAUAAUUAUGAUCACUUUUCACUUCUUAUCUUAAUAGAUUUUUAUAAACUAUUUUGAUAUGAAAUAUUUAACACAAGUCUGUAAGUAGUCAACAUCAUUCAUAAUUUUUCCUAGAGAUUUGCUAAUAGUAUUUUUUAUUUUUUUGAAAUAAUACCCAGGCUUAUAAUAAAUUUAUUAAAAAUCGUCUCUAAAUUCUCACAAUUUUGUCCUUUCAAACACACAAAUAUAUAUAUUUGUUUUUUUCCCUGUAUAUGUAUAUCCGUCCGUACCUGGGUCCGGAAAUCAGGAAGGUUUCAUCUUAAAUGAACUUCCACACGAUUGUGUAGCGAUUGUGGAAAUAGCGUAAAGUAAACAAAUUUACACUCUAUCUUCUAUAAAACUCUAUAUACACCGAUUCCCGAGACUUCACCAGCAUCAAUAUCAUUUUUAGGGAAAUAUAAUGUAAGGAGUCGUGAAUGUUGAAGCAGAUUGAUGUUCCAUUAUAUUCAUGUAUGGGGAAGACUAAGCAGAAAUUGUCUAAUAUUUCUCGAAGUCAAAGUGCUUUAAAAGUUCAAAUGUGAAGAUUCUACGGUAAUAUAAUAUUACAGCUACUCCGUCACCACUGGCAAUAUUUAUUGUCUAUCAUUUGCCAUUUUAUUGCCACAUAAAAAAUAUCUCGUUUGAAUUGAGGAAAGUUUUCUCUGUAGAACACCUCUCCAAAAAGAAAUUCUGGAUCCGCUACUGAGUAAUAUGCUGUAUCCAUCACUAAUAUUAACACUGAUACUACUAACGGAACAAAAGUUGUGAUCUUUAAAGACAUAAAGCAAAGCUCAGAGUUCUGUGUAAGUUAUUAUUGUCUAACUUGUUAACUUCUUUCAAGCUAAGCUAAAUCAUUUGAACUUUAUUUUUGACUAUUGUCAACGUACAAUACAUAUCAGCACACAUUACUUCGCCAUUAAAAUUUACUCCCGUCAUUUGUCCUUCAAACCUUAAUUUAUAUUUGAUCGAUUAAGCAGAACCUUCAAUCGCUCAAUUCUUCAACGUUUAGAAACUAUCAAAAUGCAUGAAAUGCAUUGUUUUCAAUUAUCUCACGAACUGCCGAGUGCCCUAAAAAUUAUUGACAUUCCACAUAUCAGCGCGCAGCAAAGUUUUGCAAAGAAUGACAUUGAGCGGCAAGGCUUUCAUGGGUGAAGGUUGCAUUUCUGUUGUUGUAAGCUGCUGAUUAAGCUGCCAGUGCUGCCAGCUGCUACGUCCCCCACCCCCAUCUCUACUGUGUAACACAUUCAUUUAUGCAGCUUUUGGCCGACUUUGCUAUGUUGACAAGUCGACGCGUGGGCCCCUACCAGUACACUAUAUACUCAAAUGCAUACAUACAUACAAGGGAGGAAAGGGUCAAAGCUGCAAAGGGUUGUCAACGAAAUGCGUUGCCGUUCAUAUUAGCUCAUAUAAUGGUUGUUGGUAUUGAUUAUAUGCAGCUCGCCAAAUGAUCGCUAUACAAUGUAAAUUUUUGUGUUCACAAUCGAUAUUCUCACAUUUGUUGUAAAUAUGCCACGUUGGUUCAAAACGCUUACUGUGACACUAACAUACAUACCUUGCGUUCUUUUCUACUUAGUUGCGUUCCUUUCUCACAUUUAUAUUGUCUUUUUUUAUUAUUAUUUGCCUAACGAACUCUCUCCCACACUCUCCCUCUCUCUCUUUCUAUCUCUCUCUUCCACACGCUGCACAAACUAAUGCAUCACCUUGAAAAAAAUUCUACACCGAAAUUGUGCAUUUUUGUUGCUUCCGAGUGACAGCGGACGCGACACGCGAGAUGCAAUGAAAGCUUGACAUAUGGAGAGAGCGGGAUGCAAACUGUGAUUAUGAACAUUUAUAUAAAAUAUUGUAUAAAUAACGCCUGUCACUAGCGCAGCAAAUACAUUUAGACGAAACUUUAUUAAUGUGCUUUAAAUAACUGAAAAAAAGCGCGAUUUAGCAUAUCAAUAUAAAGCUUUAUUAUGAGCGUACACAUACACUAACGCACUUAGCUUUAUUGGAAAAAUACUUCCUGCUCUGUUAAUAAAAGAAAUAAUAAUAAUAACAAACAGCAACAACUGUCUCUUGUCAUCAUCGUUUAAAACAGCUGAUGAGUCGCGCUGCCACUGCAACUGCACUGAGAGCGGCGCCCGUCAACUGCAUAUAUAAGAGAGUAAACCGCACACACUUGCAUAUUCAAAUAUUCAUGUAGUUGCGCUUGAUGCGUAAAGCUCGCUGAAAGCUCUAGUCUUCAUGUUCUGCUAACUAAUUCACAUGACGGACGAUAGCGCGAGAGCGCUUGAACGCCAGAGAGUGUACGCUUGAGCUUUUACAUACAGCAACUAGUGGGCUCACAAGCGUGCAGCGCGCUCGCCAACUUAGUCGUUGCAGCCCAAGCUGGACGGUGGCCUUUGCUGUUUAAAGUUUUGAGUCGCGCAACGUUAGUGGUCGAGAGUGGUGGCAAGUUGAAGCGCCGCUGCAGUUACGUGUUGUAAUUUUGACGUAAGCGAAAAGCAAAGCAAUAACAACUGCAGUGAUUUGGUAUUACACAGAGUGGCGCAGUGUGUCAGCAGCGAGUAAAUUUCUGCUCGCGCUGAAAGCUUGUAUUAGUACAAACGCUCAGAUUUUUAUUCGUUUUUGUUGCUUCUGCAUUGGCGCUGCAAUACCGUUGGGGAUAGAGCGCUUGCAACAUUGCCACAGUGCGCUUAGUAUAUUUCACCUUAGACGUCUUUGGCGCUGACGCAGUCCGGCACUGAGCCAACACUACAGAGCGCGCUAACAAACAAAAAAAACAACACCAUUGCUGCGCCACACAGCCAUUGCCACAUUGUGACACCGUUGUCACAUUUCUAGCAAAUUGCAUGCCUGUAGUUGUGCUGUUGUUGUUGAUUUGCUCUUGCUCGUGGCGCACUCGUUUGUCGCGGUCGUCUGUAUCUACGUACGUACGCUUAUAGUCUUCGUGCAUCGCCUGCCAUCAGACGAAGAGGCGGCCGCUCGCUAGCCUUUAGCAGUCAUUGACGAAUAAGCGGUCAGAUGGGUGGUUGUGAUCCGUUUGUGGCGGUUGGGCAAGUGUUUGCGCCCAUUCAUUUACAAGAGUCAAGCGAGCGCGUUUCAGUGUCCGUUUGUAAACAGUUAUUUUGUGUAUUGUAUGUUUGUCUGUGCGAACGUACGCAAGGUGGCCGAGUAAAACAAAAAACGAACGCAUUAACAUGACAGUGAAGGUCAACAAUGUACGUAAAGCAACGCGUUUGCGGACAGCGCUGCGCUUUCGGCCAAGGCAAUAUUGCAAGCGCUGUAACACAAAACCAACAAUACAACAAUAGCAAGCAAUAAAUGAGUGUCCUUAAAGCUGGAUAAUAACUACAAUAAUGCUGAAAAACCAAAAAUGUAAUAAGAAAAUCGUGUCUCGUCGCGUCGUGUACUCGUUAAAGUCUGUUCAAAACCCCGAAAAUAAAAAUAUCGGCUAAAUUUGUACGUUUUACCAAAAAGGCUAGAGGGAAUUGCAGCGUUAUGCUUCUUUUUCACAUGGUGGUUUUGUUGUUGUUGUUGCGCUACACGCACACGAACGCCAUCGCGUACCUAGAAAAGUUAACGAAAGCCAACGACAGCAACAACGCGUUGGGGGCGACGGCGACGGACAACCACGAAGCAGUGAAGAAGCAGCCAUGGCCGCUGAAGCAAUUCGAAAAGCGUACAGCGCGCAAGAAAGCAGAAAGUAGCAGCGGCAGCAGCUGUAGCGGCACGCGAUUGCACUUUCCUCGAGUCAGUCGAUUGUCAGUGUUGAUUUAUACGCCGACUCAACAGCAGCAAUAGCAGCACCAGCACCAGUCGCAGCCAGUACAAGUGACAGGGCAAGCAUAUAAGCAGGCAUUUAAGCAAAGAGUCAAAGCUAAAGAAUUCGAAAAUCAUAAGCAUUCAUCAGCAUUUAGCCACUGUGUUAGUUGUUUUAUUACAACACUUGCGGCGCUAAACGUUGUUCAUAUUAAUUGAUUGUUUGCGCUCGCAAUCAGUAAGCAAUAUUUAGCGAGCGCUUGAUCUACUAUGCAGUGUACAAUUUCGAUAAAAAAAAUGCAUAUAUUUUUUUUCAAAGUGUUACAAGUGUAUUUAAAUUUUAUCUUUUCAAUUUAAAAACUUCUUAUUUUGGAUUUCAAUCUGCGAGUUGCUCAAAUAUCACUUAUACGCCUAUGCAUAUCAGCUGUUGUUGAAUUCGAGACAGCUUGUGCCAUAUAACGUUGACUCGUGCAUGUAUGUGUUUGUGUGUGUGUGUAUUUAUCAUAUUUAUGAGUGUGUAUUUAUGACAAGCAUUUGUGUUAGUUUCGAACACGUGAUCGCUCGAAAGCGUCAAACAGAGCGUAAAAUACCCAUAAAGACUCAUAUUUACCAGCCUAUAAGUGUGUGGUUGUGCGUGCAUGUCUGUGUGAAAUGUAGCGUAGUGACUUCAUUAAUAAGAAAGUCAGCCCGCACGCAACUACUUUUCUAUUAAAUUUUAAUUAAUUGCUUAAAAUAUCGACUUUUCUACUUCUUUUGCCGUAUUUUUCGUGUGAGCUGUGAAAUUCUGUGGUUUUUCACACGCUAAAUCGCAACGUUUUUGUAUUACAGAGCUAUUAAUUGUUGUUGAUGCAGCGUUCAUAACAGAAGUGUAGAAAUAAUUUUAAACAGUUCUGUAUAAUUUAUUUAAUACUUAGUGAUCAAAAUGGAAUUUUCGGUAAAUUUUCGCCUGAAUUUUCGUGUGUGGUUAUUAGGUGAAAAACUAAUAAUUUCAACUUGCCAUAAAACCGCAAAAUGCAAAAAAAUUAUCACGAAAUUAUACUUAAAUUGUAGAAAAACACUUGUGAAAGCCAAUAUGGUGACAAAGUGGUUUUAGUUGAGCUUUUUUAACUAUUCUAUGAGAUUAACUGAUAUGCAAACAAUCUUUUUCAAUUUGGAACCUUAGAACAGAUUUUUCUCAAACUAAACACGGAUUUUUGAAGGCUUAAAGAAGCUUUUCGCUAAUUAACCGUUCUGAGAUAUAUUUUUUAUGUGAAAAUUUUAGAUUUUCUGUAGCUUUUUUGUUGUACAGAAAACUAUCAAAGUGGCAAAUGCCCUAAAUCAAAAAAAAAUAUUUGAGUUUCCUCAAAAAUAAAAAAUUGUUCUUUUCAAAGAAAAAUUUUAAAAAAUUGUACACCAAAAAUUUUUUUUUUCAUAUACAAUUUUUUUAACUUACAAAUAUUCUAAUACAAUCACAGUUUAUUUCAACUUUUCGUUCCCCAAAAAUAACUUUUUCCAUACCAUUUCAAGUAAAAUUUUCUCAUAAAUUUGCAACAAAAAAUCAUUUCAACUGAAUGUGAAACACAUUUACCAACUCAAUAUAAGUAGGUAUUUUCUCUACUUUUCCACUACUUGCAAGGCAUUUUGUGCGAUUAUGCAAUAGCACCGCGUUCACCUUAGCGUUGUAAGUUGUAUUUUCGUUGUUAUUCCCUACAUUUUGCGGCCGCUGUGUUUGUUGUGUUUAUUUUGGUUUUUACUUGGUUGUUGUUAUUGUCAGUGAUGUUAUUAUUACAAUUUCAAGCAUUGUUGGCACAAUUGCCAUGUGUUGGCACACACACGCCAAACAGCUUAGCCAAGUUGGCACACACACACACACGCGCAAGCAAAGAAAUGCAUUCGCUGCUCAUACACACACACACACGCAUGUAUACAAAAGCAUACGUGCAAAGCUAAAGACAAGUGUGUGUGUCGUGAAAUACUAAAAUAAAAUCUCGUUCACUAAUUAUUUUCUGCUUACAUGCUUCAGAGCGAUCUUUUUUCACAAACGAAUCGGAAAAAAAACGACUAGAAUGCAUGCCAGCUUAUUUUAAGCAGCUAAGCAAAACCCCAACAACAAAAAAUGCAAGUAAAGCCCGCUCUGCGAAAAGUGGCUGAGUAGUAGCUGAGAAGUGUAGCGAAAUAGCCGAAAAAUAAACAGGCGAAUGUAUAAUUAAGAAAGUAUAUGCGCAUACAGAGGCACUAACACAUAUACAUAUAUAAGUACAUUUGUUGAGGAAAAAAUAUAAAUUUAGCAAAAUGAAUUGCAGCCAGCAAAAAAGCGCUAUCGAUUCGUGUGGCUGCUUGUUGAAAUGCCAGCCACAAUGAUUGCUGCACUAAUGUUAAAACAAAAAACACAGAAACAAACAAAUGUAUAAGUUAGCUAACAAAAAACAGCAACCACAAGCGAUUUCUACACUUUACACAUGCUAACUAAUUUUCACAGCACAUAUGUGCUGGCCUUCUUCACAGUCGAUCACCAGCUGAGCGACAGGUGCAUACACAUACAUAUGUACUAUUACAUACUUACACAGUAUAUAGAUAAUAUAUAAAUGCACAGCCAUAUAUACUGGCAGCGUUUGAUGUGUUUUAUACAUUUGCUGUGUGAAAAGUGUGUCUUUGCUCCAUUGCAUUUGUGAAAUUCAACGAUGUUGUUAUUGUUGUUUUUAUUGUGUGUUAAAUCGCACUGCCGAAAUGAUUCGUUAUGAUUCACAUAAUUGCAUUCACACAAUUUGCUUGAUUAUUUACAUAAUGUGGAAUACAAAAUCUUUUGAUAUUUUUGUGCAUGUGUGUGUGUUUGUGUGCAAAUAUGAAGCGUGUAAGUCAAACAGUCUGCCGUAUUGCUGCAUUCGCUUUUUUGUAUUUUUUUUCUUAAUAGAAAUCAAAAGAUCUAAAAAACUAUUAUUUGCUUCUGUAGUUGGAAAAAUAUUUCUAUAGUAAUUUAUAGAUGGGAUUAGUAUGAAAAAAAAUUUUUUUUUCCAAUACGAAAAUAAUUGCUUUCAAAUGCUUAUCAAAUUACAUAACAAAAGAGAUAUUAUCCAGAGCAUGUUUGCAACUUAAAAAAUGUUAAGAAGCAAUUUUUGCACUACAUUUGGUCAAUUACAAACAAUAUUAUUGAUACAUUUUUGAAUUAACAAAAUUUUAAUUAAUAAAUAUUUAAAAAAAAUUUGCUAACGGCUUGUAAUACUCAAUAAAUAGAAAUAUAGCAGUUAAAUGCUAAAUAAAAAUAUUUAAAAUCUAUAAAAAUAUUGAAAUAAUAAAUUUAUGCUCUUUUUAAACAAAAGAUUUUUAAAAUUUAGAUUGCUAAAAUUUCAAUCAUUAAAUUUAUAUCCGAAAAAUUUAAGUAAUUUUAAAGAUUUUUAAUAUUAAAAACCCAAAAAGUAAAUAAAACAAAAACAAAUUUUGUCAAAAAAUGUUCAUCAAAUUCAAUGCAAAAACCAUCUAAAAAAUUAUAUAAAGCUUCAAAUGUAGAGUAUUAAAAUUUUUAAUAAUUAAUAUAAAAAUAAAUAUUAAUUAAAAAAUAACUGAUAUAUAAGAAAUAUUUGAAAAGAGAAUAACAAUUUCCAAAAAAAAAAAAAAAUUUGAUUUCCAAGUUAUUUAAUUUAAUGUGGGUUUUUGUAUUCCAGAUGUGUUCAGAACAGAAAAAUGAAACAAAAGUUGCACCAAAAAAUCGCAUUUUAGACAAUUUUGUUUUUAAUUUAUUCAUCAAAAUGGAGUUUUAUGUUAGUUACAGCGCGCCGAAAACUUAAAUGUAUAGACAUACAUAAAUUGCAGAAAACACAAGCUAUCUUUUUUUAAGUUUAUAACUUUUGUAUAAUGUAAGUAUAUAACAUUGUUGUUUAUUAACAUUUAGUUUCUUUUAUAACAUUAAAAACCUGGAAAAUAUUUUGGAAAUUUUUUUUCUAUUGGUAAUUUUUUUUUUCAAUUUUAAGUAUUUGUAAUCGGAUUUUGAGCAAACAAUUCAAGUUUAUAAAAUAUUUUUCCAAAAGUAACUCAUUCAACCAACUGACAAUUAUGAGUUUAGUCGCAAAUUUCGCCAUUACCAUAAAUGACUUGCCCUACUGCCCUCUCAUUAAAAGAAAAUUAAAUUUAAACUCACAUUUAUACUACCAAAAUGACUUAUAACAUUUUACAACAACUAAUUUCGCGUUUUCUCUAAUUAUUGUCAGUCUGAUUGAAGCAAUUAAAUCUCUACACAUUAGAGAAUUCCACUCAAUUAAUAUUCAAUUACCUCAGCUAACCUAAUACAACUGUAUAUGAGAUCAAGUAUUGUACCCCCAGUAACUGAGUUAUACAAUUCGCUAUGACUGCAUACAAUACAGUUUUAUUAUAUGAGCGCAAUGUUUUGUGGCAAAAAUAUGUACUUCCCCCGAUGAGGAGUGGAAAUCAAAGAUAAAAGUCAAUGGGAACACAAUAGCAGUGACUGAGUGUAUAGUUGCGUAAUAUGAAGGGUUUGUAGAGAUAUAUAAAUGUAUAGAAUAUAUUUAUACAUAUAUAUAUUUUUGUAAAAUAUGUAUACAUAUAUAUAUGUAUGUAUGUGUGUGUGUGUGUUUGCAAUAGAAACUGGCACAUCUAUGAUGGCAGCAGCAUUGUGAGCUUUUUUCUAUAGCUAAGUUAUGCAUUUAUACACAUAUAGACAUGUGUGCAUGCCUCAGUAAAGUGUGCAAACCCCAGAUUGUAUUGAUAGAUUACCAGAAAACACCAAAAUCACUCGCUAUAUGUGCCUAGGUAUAUAUGUUUAAGCAGUUAGCUAGAAAUGCAAUCUAAAAUGAAGUUAGUUAGGAAAUUCUCGAUAAUUUUCAAUGAGAAAGAAUCAGAUGUGAUAAAUUAUUAUUGAGGGUAAAUUUUUGCUCAUACAUAUGUGCAUAUAAAAGUAUGUACAUAUGGUAUACAAAUUCCACCUAUUUUAUAUAGUUUGAAGUAUAUACUUAAACCAAUUUUUUGGCCAAGUAGCUCAAAAUAUGAAAGAAAAAUUAGAAACAAUUAAAUGAGAAUCUCCAUAAAGGUAGAAUAACCAGAUUCGCAUACAGAUAUUUAUGUUAAAAAAUAUUAUUCAUAAACACAUUUUCAGCAAAAACUAUUUUCUAUCAAAGUAUAUACUAGACUCCUCUUAUAUUAAAAAAAACACUAGCAAUAAGUUGAAAAAAUUAUAAAAAUUCACUUCAAUCAUACAUAAAUGCAGCUGCAACUUUGAAAUAACAGUAAAAUAGGAAAUAGCAAUAAUAUUAUUUAUCUAAAUGAAAACAAAGCAUACGACAACUUGACCUUGCGGCAGUUUCAUAUAGCAUUUAGAGAUGCUUUGAAAUAACAAGCUGCAAAAUAUAUAAGUUAUAUAGCUGAAAUGAAGGUAAAAAUACAUACAUACGCAAGCACAUACACACAUACACACACCCAGCUGUCAGUGUUGCAGUACAUGCAUUGCUGGUGAUGUCAAAAGAUGUCUUUUAUUUUAUUUUUGUAAAUUGAAUUGCAUGUACAUACGAAUAUGUACGUGUGUGUGACAUUGUGGAUUACACGUGCAUCACAAACACACGCGGACACACAAAUGCUACUAUUUUUGUAUAUAUAUGUAUGUAUGUACUUAGAAACCUUUAUGUAGGUAGAAGCAUGUCACGGCGUAUACGUAAUCAGGCAAGGUAGCCUGCCUGAGUUUGAGGUUACGUAUACGCCACAUGCCACUGCAGUGAAAUGCACACAUGUUUAGUAUAAAGCACAUAUGUAUGUAUAUGUUUUUAUGAAAUUUCAACUGACUUGUUAGUGCUCAAUAGCGCACAGAAAAUCAAGUCUUUUACAAAACACUCCCUUUCACCUGCGCGCCCAGCUAAUUUUGCAGCGCUCUACUCUCUGCAACUACAACAACUACUGCAGGGCUAGUUAGUGUGUUUUCGCCUCUCACAACGCUGCUUGCUUGUGUGGCCUUCAAGUGAACACGCCCGCUUGCUUCAAUUACAACGUUGUUUGACUAAUAAACGUCAUUUGGUGGGCUUGGCGAUUGGGGUGAUGUCGGUGGGUUAAAGAUGCGAUGUCAAAAUGUUAGUUUUUGCAUAUAUAUAUACUUAUGUUUGUAUAUAUUUAAGUAGGUGAACACAAAUAUGAUUUAAAUCUAGCUAAAAAAGCUACUUUUGUACGUAUACUUUGAGCACAAGGUGUGAGCUAAAAAUCAUUCGUAGGCGUUUUUUGCAUUUUAUACACAUAUAAAUAGUUGGUAAUAUAUAUUUUAUAGAAAAUUAUAUUUCAUUGACAAUAAUGAAAUUAUAUAUACUACUGCCAGCUGUUCAAACAUAAUUAAAUUUAUCUAAUUUUUGAUGAGUGUGCAAUAUUUUUGUAAUUUUUUUAUUGAAAUAUUAUUUUUUAUAGCGCAUCAAAUUAUUACUUUAUUUAUUUAAUGCAUUAUAGUAAAUGAUUUAGUUAUAUUUAUACAAUUUCCAAGUUUUUGCAACCGCAUCAAAAUGAAGCAAGCAACUUAAAUAAGGAAUUAUUAAUAAAUAUCCAAUUUGAUUUUUUAAGUCCUACAUAUCUAGCUGCAUUUCAAAGUGCCUAUACUUGUUAAAAAACUAAUUGUACUAGCAUUGCACUUAUUCAAAAAUUGCAGUAACUAACAUUUCCAAUAAUAUUUUCAUCUAACUUAGUCUGUUGCAGAAAAGUAUAAAUAUAUAUUUUAUUUAUAUAUAACGCUAGAAAGUUAACAACCCACGCACACAUAUACACACCAGCCAGUGGUUAUUGUUGCCUGAGUAUUUUCACAAACAUUCGCGUGGGUGGCACAAAACCCAUUUGAAAUCAAAAUAUCUACACCGCACACAUCUACAUGCAUAUGUAUGUACGUGCGUAUGUAAGAAGCGAAAAAUUAAAUAUAAAUAUGUAUGUGCCUACAUUUGUGUUUUUGGCUUUAUAGGCUAUUUGCGUUCUAUGCGCUGCCACUGAUUCACCUACUCACCUAGUGAUCUACAUAUAUUUUCGUUUUAUAAAAAUAUACUGCACAUGCUGCCUCUGCACAUGCAUACAUCCAUAUAUACGUUUAUAUAUGUAACUGCGUGUAUGCAUUUCAGCGCUAAAGUUUACAGUUGAGCACUCAAAUUGACUACACUUGCUUUAUAACGACUUUAUGUUGUCAUAUAUAUAUAAAAGUGUAUAUAUAUAAAUAUGUAUAUGUAAAUAUUAGUAUGUGGGAUGUCGCGCUGUUUAUACAUAUAUACACACGACUUUGUUGAUGCAGUUUUUAUACAGAUGUUUAGUAUAAAGUUUUGUAAAAAAUUAUUUACUUGCUGUUAUUUCCGCUCCAAAGUUCGACAAAAAAGUUUUGUGACAGUAUAAGUUUUUAUAGUAUAAUAUAUUGUCAAUAUGUCAAUAUCAAUAUUGCAAACUAGCUCUUUGAGGUUAUGACGUAAUGGAGCAAACAUUUGUGUUCUGAAAUUAUAUGUCAUUUGGAAUGAAUGAAUGUUUUCAAGCAUAGUUUAUGAGCUUUUCGAGGUUUAUUUUCAAAGUGGUCUAACCGAUAAGUCAUGGCUUUUGAAGCAUCAUAUAUGAAUUUCUUUAACUAAAAAUUAUAGAAUAACAAAUUCUAUAUAUAUUUUUCCGUAGGCUGUCACUCUUCUAUCUAACUUCUAUCUCGUAUUAAAAAGCGAAAUAUAUAUUCAUCGUUUUCCAUUCAGCGUUCCAGUUCGCGAAUCUCAAAACUUACUAAAUUCAUUUUUAGAAAGGAAAUGUAUUUUGUUAUCCUCACUGAUUACUUUAAACUUCCAAAAUAUUAUCUACUGAGAUCAAAAAAUGAAUCAUUCAUCAUACUGCCUAACUGAUUUGUAUUAAAUCAGGAUUAACUACUAUGAUUUCAAAGAUAGAUUUAUGGAAAGAAAAAUAAUACAUAAACUCAAAAACAAUUCUAAACAUUUGUAUUAUAAUUAAGGCGGAUGUAAUUUUGAGACUUAAUUUCAGUUUCGGCAUACAAAUUUUGAAAGAUUUAAGUUUUUUGGCUUCUUGUACUUACAACAAUUUACUUCUUAUUGAGAUCUGAAGUAUCUAAUUUUAGACCAGAAGGCAUCUAAAAUAGUGAAUUGACUUCACUGGGUCUCUGUAAAUACCUCACUUUUACCCUAAAGAACAGCUGUAUGUCAAAAUGAAUACAGCUGCUAGCCAAAAUAUCCUCCAUAUAAGACAUUUGAGUGAAAACAUAUGUGCUUAAGAGUCUUUUUACGCCAUUUAAACUGCUGUUCUGAAGCUUUGCGAGAGAGACGGAUAUUUCCAAUGCAUUUUCGCAACUUUUAAUAUUUGACGAAAUACUGAGAUCCAUGUAGAUAAAAUGAGUGUUAGUCUAUGGGCUAAAGAGUCUGAAUUUUAAGAUUUGCUGACUGUUGUUAUUUAUUAUAAGUUUAUGAAGCAUGAUUCGAUACAAUUUAGAUAUGAGAGGCCUAUAUUCUAUCCUUUUCGCUGUAGCAAUUUGGUAUGAAAAAACUGCUUACAUAUGCACAUACAUUUAUAAAGUAUAUGUAUGUGUAUAUAUAGGUUUAUACGUGAUGAUUCUGCAAUCUAUGCCUUCUCGCUUUAUUUUCUGUCUAAUAUGGAGAUUACUGCAGCUCUAAGUCAUUUCUAAUAUGUUGUGGUCUAUUGUGUCUAAAAAUCUCUGCUUUACUCUUCUAUAAACAAAUUUAAUUAUAUCUUUGGUAAGAAGCUAUAAAUUUCAACUCAAUAAUAGCCGUGCAUUUUGUACUUUACCCAGAAAUAUGUGCUGUUAAAAUGAAAAAAAAAAUGUCAUCAAAGCAAACGGUGGAAAAAAAUGCUUCAAGACAAAUGGUUAAAAAUUCGAAAUUUUAAAGUACAUUCUAGAAUUUUUGUUUGUAAUUUUUUUGGAAUAUUUUUUGUAAAUUAUUUUAUAUACAAAUAUAUAUAAAAAAAAAGUUUAAUUCUUAAUUCAUACAUUUUUUUAUAAUAAUUUUUUUUUAAUUAUUGGUUUGUUUUUUUAAAGCUGCUGCUUUUUGCGCAUAUUUCCAGCAAUAUCACUACCAUUUCAAAAAACUUGUUUUAUAAAUCUACAUACUUAUACAAACGCCGCUGAAUCACAUACGAGUACAUGCAAUUAUACAUGUGUCGCUUGUCAUUAAUCAACAAAAAUAAACAAAUGUUGCAAUUAACAGGUUUAUAAAAAUUUCAAGUUUAUAAAGAGCCAUGAAUUUGUAUUUUUAGGUCAUCCAGCAGGCCACUUUUGCAAUAAUAUUUAAAAUGUUUUUUUGUGUCUGUAUCCUUAUAAAAUAAAAUAUACUCUCCGCCGAUCAAUUACAUAUCUGUAAUCCAAUAAAUUUCAUAUACAAGUAUAUACAUACCAUGUUAUCGAACUCCAUGCGUAAUAUUUGCCGCUUACAACCAUUUCGCUGUGUAUGCUACCACUAAAGCGGCAAAAGAAAUAAAUUUUUAUAUCGUUGCAAUAAAAUUGAUGAUAAUGUUCACACAUAAAUAGCAUUAUUGCUGGUAAUUACAGUUCGUUACUCAGUGUCAAUGCAAUUACUUGAAUAUUAUUAGUAAUUCUUUUUUUGAAAGUAAUGAAUAAAAGGCCACCCACAAGCAAUGUUUAUAUAGCAAAAUUCAAUAAAAUUUUUAUUUGCAUAAAAAUUGAAGAGAAUACGUAAUUGCAAGAGAUUUUUAUAAAUAUAAUAGAAAUAUUUCUAUAUACAUGCUUCGGAAUAUGCAUACAUACAAGUAUAUAAAACAUAUACACAUAUAAAUAUAUGAAACUAAGUUCAACGACUCAUGACAGCUUGCUGGUUCGCGUAAUCAACUGAACGCAGUAAACACAUGCUUAGCCCCCUGUAUGCUUAGCUAGCAUUUUAAUUUUUAGACUUUGUGUCCAUAUUGUAUAUACAUAUAAAUAUAUAUAUGUGGGCGAUAACAUAUCUACAACAAUAUAUGUUUCAUACUUUAGUGCCUGUAGCGUUUGCUAUAUUUUUCGUCGUCGUCUAAUUUGUCAAAUUAUUUUUAGGCGUCGAAAGAAUUUUUUAUUGCGUAGCACUCGCCGCAACUCGCAGACGUUAGCUGAUAAGAAAAAAAUAUAUAAUAUACUUAUAAUAUAUGCUCGCAGGCGUCUUAAGUGCUUGCUUGUACACUAAAGAAGUCUCUUCAAGUGAAAAGUGAACUUUCCCAAGCAAAAUUUACGCUGCUCCAAUUUUGGUUUUUAAAUAAAAAAAACUCAAGAGUUUCAAAUUUGAAUAUUUGAAUUCAAAUUUUUGUAUACAUAAUAUAAUAUUUCUGCAAAAAAUUUGCCGUGUAGCCGCUACUUUCAUUGAGCAAUUUCCAUUUCACGCCGCUUACACGCCGCAAAAUGCUGCGAAAAUCCCAUCAGCUGUUGGCAUUUAUUUCAUCAUCCAAAUUUGUUGGGUUUUUCGGUAUUUAUUUUUAUUAUUAUUAUUAUAUAAAUUGUUUUGACGCAACACUUACGCUUGCGUGCCAUUCACGCCUCUAAUGCGUGCUCUCCGUCACUCAUGUGUAUAUAUGUACGUGUGUAUGCGAUGUCAGCAUUUUCGUAUGCGCAUUUUUUGUACUUUUUUUUAUAAAUUCUUCUACUUUUCUCCAACCAAGAAUAUGAUAUAUCACUGCUGCUUAGGUACACGUGACAUCAUCAUCAUAUAAUCACUCAUAUAUGACACAUCGCACAACGUUUGAAAAAAAAAGAAAUGCGCUUAAACUAAUAGCUAGAACUUGUUUUAGUGCUGAGCAGUUUUUUGUUUAAAAUAUAUAAAAUAUAUAUAUAUGAAAAAUGACAGCAAAUUAAUUUGUAAGAAAUAAAUUGCUCAUAAAUAAAAGCGGGAAAAUUGAUGACAUAUUUUCUAUUAGCCUGAGUCACAAAUUAUGGGUGUUUUGCAGUUUUUUUCUGCUAUUAUAAAGCUACUGGAUUGUUUUCAAAAAAAUUUUCGAUUAUAAAUAAUAAUUUUAGUAAUAAUUAUUAGUGAAAAUUAAAAAUCAUGUAAGUUUUACUUUCUUAACUAGGUAUGAGAAAUUUUAGAAUUUUUCGCUCAGAAAAUAGUGAAAGCUUUGAAAAGGCUUUUUAUAAAAUUCCGUUAUUUUGAUUUGGUACCAUUUUUUAUAAAAUUUCGAAAUACAACUAUGAACAAAUAAGGUAUAUAAUUCUCAACAGGCUUAUAUUAAACAUAUUAUGAAUUAAAUAGGUUAUUAAAUUAAUAAAAAUACUUAUUUAAACAUUUUUUAUGUUAGAAUCAUAAUUUUUCUUUAUAAUAUAAGCCUUUUUCUCACUUCGAUUUUAAGAAAGCAUGAUAGAGCAUACUUAAUCAUUGCAUAAUCGACCGAAAUUUGAAAAUGGGAGGCGUUUAGUGCUACAUACCUUCUUCUUUUAGCCCAAAGUUCAAGAUAAAGUUUGCCACGAAGUUUGUUAGCUUAGUUUUUUUAUAAGAUUUAGCCAUCUAUGUCCGUCUGUCUGACAUCGGUCUAUAUAUGCGUGAACUAAUAUCUCAGUUUUUGAGUUAUCGAACUGAAAUUUGGCAAUCUUUUUCUCCCCAAGCAGCUGUCCAUUUAACGGAACUGCUAAUAUCGGAGCAGUAAAUCAUAUAGCUGUCAUACAAAUUCAACAUUCAAAAUGAAGUCCUUGUAAGGAAAACUUUUUUGUUUGACUAGACAUUUUCACGAAAUUUUACCUGGAUUAUUUUCCAUGACAACGCUAUAAUCUCUGAAUAAAUUGUUUAGUUCGGACGGCUAUAUCAUAUAGCUGUCAUACAAAUUGACCAAUCAAAAUCAAGUUAUAAUAUAUAAUAUUUGUGAAUGGAAAGCUACGGUUCGUUUUUUCUUGUUUAAAAACUAAAUCAACUAAAAACUCAUGAUAAUAGUUUUGAACCAAAAACCAUCAAAAAAUUUCGUUUUUAAACUCUUUUGUUGUGAAUUCCAAGCUCCAAAGUAAUUUUUAUCUACCCUUUCCAAAAUUUUAUAAUUUUAUUUUAUAUUUUAUAUAAUUUUAUAACGAGGCUUUAAUCAAAUAAAUUUAAAAAAAAAAUUUCGGAAGACAAAAAGCAACAACAACUCGACCAAAAUACCAACAAUUACCAAGCUGGAUACAUUUCUGGCGCUCAAAGAGCCAACUCUCAAUGCACAAAAUGAAAUCUACUCCCAAAAACGUACUUUAAAAUAAUUUUAUUGUCAAAUCAUACAUAUUUUAAUUAUUUUUUUAUCAUUUGCUUAUAUUAUGACAAGCAUAAAAGCAGUAAAUAUUAAUUUCUUGCAGCGUGCAAAGACUACGCAGCGAACUUGCAACGAGAAAGCAGCGAAUGAGUAGUAAAAUUGCUAUUUUUGUUCUUGCAAACGCUUUAAAAAGUAAUUAUUUUGCGCACAAUAUUAUAAUUUUCACUCACUUUUAUAUGAAAAUUUUCACCCACGCACACAAACGCACAAAUGUAUGCACACAAAAGAUAAAGAGGUAUGUAUAUAGUUGUGAGUUUACAUUAAAAUGCCAUUUCAGUGCAUAUCAGCAGCGCCUCACUGCUUAAGGACAUUGCAUAAGUGCAAAAAAAGUACUUGCAAUGUGCAAAAAAAGUACUGCGCUUGGAUUGUUUUUCACAUGACCUUCGUUGUAGAAGAAAGGUCACUUGGCGCGCUCAGCUGCAUUUGCAGUUGUACCAUAAAGUGCAGAGAGCAAACUGGUACCCCGCCAUUUUCACCAACAACAACAACAACAAUAACAAACUCGAACAGUGCAAAUGUUUUAAACGUGUCGAGGUGCAAGUAUUCAGCUGUAAGCGCUGAGGGCUUGCUAUUUUUUGCACACCAACACAACCACAUAUAUUUCAUAUAUAUUUAUAUAUGUAUGUGCGUGUGCACUCACACAGAAACACACUCUCAUUCCCCUUGGCAGCCAUAUUAUUAGCGCAUUUCUAUACCUUCAACUUUUUUUCGCACUUAAAUGGUGUUUUAGUUGUUGUUUUCACUUUGUUGCUGCAACUAUAUGCCUUUUACAUGUACACAUAGUUUUGUAAUUUAGGUCAAUGCUAUGACCCACUUUUACUUAUAGUAUAAACUUGCACUUGCACAUUUGCAUUUGUGGGUGGAUGUAUUAUAUAUAUAUAGGUAUGUAUGUAUGUACAUAUAUAUGUAGGUAUGGUGUGUGAUUGACUUAUAUGCACUCAGUAUGACCUUAAAUUUGUUGCAGUUCAUGCUAUUUUUCGAAGGUUUGCCAGCUUUUGGGUUUUUAUGUCCUCAAAUAAAAUUGUAUUAAAUAACGGUAAAAUGUGUGUGUAAGCGUGCAAUCGUGUAUGCUCAGCUGCCCUUAUGGUGACAACCUUGAUUUGAGUUUAUUCCGUCUUUUUAUCUCGCUUGCUUCAAUUUGGUUACUGUUUUUGGAAAAUAUUAAAUAUUGUUGUUAUUGUCAAUUAAAGGAAAAUAAAUUGCAAUAUCGAAAAAUAACGUAAUUGCGAAAAACCGUUAGGGCAUUUCAACAUUUUUUUCCAAAAAUAAAGUGCUUAUAGACAACUGGCUUACUAAUAUUUCCACCAUCAUGUAAAUAUGUAUAUAUCAUAUUGCAUAAACAACAACAAAAAUGCGUCAAUGGGUCAUUUUGUCAACAUUUACAAAAUACUAGACUAGCAAAAAUUCAAAACAACUUAAUUUUCCUGUCAUUAGGCUCCAAUACCUCACUUAUUUGAGAGCUUUACAAUUAUUCACAACUAUAUUUAUAUAUUUUAUAAUCCAACAACAACACUACUAGCAAAUUGUCAUCACUUUUAAGAAAUUUAUUGCUUUCGGAAAUGCAAUAAAGCAACAAAAAUGCAAAAAUUAUGACACACAAAGAAUUACAUGCAGGCAUGUGCCCAUUUAGUACCUUAAAACAAACAAAAACAACAGUAAACAGUUGCAUAUGAAUCUCAUUGCCACACAUAUGCAUAUCCACAAGCAAUAAUGGCACACUCUUUUGGUACGAAUAAGCAAUAAAUUGAGCGACUCUUCAAAGCUAAGUAGACAGCAACGAGUUGUGCCGAUUUUCGACAUUUACAAACUGCAAAAAUCACAAAAGCAAAAACGUUA